rnacentral:misc_RNA from 1 species
GAGUAGCGAAAUCGAGUAACGAAUAUUGCCGCUACCUUCGCUUCUUCGUUUCACGAUGUUCAGCUUAGUUAUUGUGUUUGAAAAACGCAAGUGAUACGAAUUAUAAGAAUUCGAAUCGAUCGUUUGCAUGUUUGAAAAGAAUGGCAUUGUUGCUCGAUAAAUUAAGAUUAAAAAAAAUUGUAAAAUUAUCUGUUCGAUAUGCUGCUGGUAGUACACAUGGAAAAGAUCAUUGGUCUGUUGUAAGAAAAAAGAAAACGACAAAGGAUAAAGCGCUAGAAUACUUUGAUGAUUUUUACGCAAAUGUUUAUAAAAACAAUUGGAAGGAUAUACGAACUGCGUUAUUAAAAAAAGAGUCCAAGUAUGUGGCUGUAGUUAAUAAUUUCAGUGAUACGGAAAAAAUUCAAUCUAAUUUAGAGCUACUUGGUGCAUUAAAUUUAAGGAGUCUAUAUAAUGUACAAAAAGAAAAUGUAGAUUUUUUUAAGAGUAAAAGAGAGGCCAAGUAUGGUAAAUCUGAUGAUAUACAAAAUUCGAUAGAAGCUGAAACAUCUACAGAUCAGUUGUCAGAACUUCAAGCAGCUUAUCCUGCUAAUUAUCCAAAUUUAUUAGAAGCCUUAAAAGCUGAAAGUACGGAAUCUGAUAAAAAGAAUGAAAAUAUACCUGUAAAAUUACAAUCUAUAGAUACAAGUUUAAAUGAUGUUAAUAUAGACAAUACUCGUAUUGUUGAUUCAUCUGUAAAUUUAUCUAUGCUUCAAGAAUACGUGCCUGCUACCAAAAUAAAGGGCUUAGACGAUUGGGUUUUGGAAUCUGAUCAUUAUAAAUUUUAUACCGAGGCUGAUGAUUUUAAAGUAAAUAUUGAGAAUGAGCAUGUUUUGCCAUUUCCAGAAUAUUUACACGUAUAUACUUUUGAAAGAGAUAAUUAUACUAGAUUUCCAAGUCCUAAAAAAGGAACUACUGGUGUGUUAGAUUAUUAUUUAUUUGACGGAGGAUCUAUACUUCCUGUAUUAGCUCUAGAUAUACAAUUAGGUGAUAUUGUGCUUGAUAUGUGUGCUGCACCUGGAGGAAAAGCUUUAACUAUUCUUCAAACUCUCAUGCCACGUUUAGUGAUUGCUAAUGAUGUUGUUGAAUCUAGAAUAAAAAGAAUUAAAAAUGUCAUGAAUCAAUUUGUUUCAAAUAUUUGUGAGAAAGAAAAUAUGUUUCUUAUAACUCAACAAGAUGCUAGAGCAAUCAGUGAAAAUGGUAGAUAUAAUAAGAUUUUAGUUGAUGUACCAUGUACAACUGACAGACACAAUUUACAUUCUGAUGAAAACAAUAUUUUUAAACCAAGCAGGGUUAAGGAAAGAUUAAAAUUGCCAGAAAUCCAGUCUGAAAUUUUAACGUCGGAAUGCAUUGAAACUAGUAUCGAUAGGAGGUACAGUAGUUUAUUCAACAUGUUCUCUUAGCCCCAUACAAAAUGAUGGUGUUGUACAAGUAGCAUUAAAGAGAGCAUGGCAAGAAAGUAACUGUGUCAUGGUUGUGAAAGAUAUGACAGAAGCAUUGUUGCCCUUACGAUGCAUAUAUGAUUUUGGCAGAAUUGGUUUAAAAUAUGGUCAUAUUGUUAUACCCACUUGUCAUAAUAAUUGGGGUCCAAUGUAUUUUUGUAAAUUAGUAAAAGUACAGUAAAGAUAAAUGAGUAUUUUUUCUCUAUAUUAAAUAAAUAAAUAUUUAAAUUUGUA